AGAGUUUGAUCCUGGCUCAGGAUGAACGCUGGCGGCGUGCCUAACACAUGCAAGUCGAGCGAUCUUCUUCGGAAGAGAGCGGCGGACGGGUGAGUAACGCGUGGGUAACCUGCCCUGUACACACGGAUAACAUACCGAAAGGUAUGCUAAUACGAGAUAAUAUACUUUUAUCGCAUGGUAGAAGUAUCAAAGCUUUUGCGGUACAGGAUGGACCCGCGUCUGAUUAGCUAGUUGGUGAGGUAAUGGCUCACCAAGGCGACGAUCAGUAGCCGACCUGAGAGGGUGAUCGGCCACAUUGGAACUGAGACACGGUCCAAACUCCUACGGGAGGCAGCAGUGGGGAAUAUUGCACAAUGGGCGAAAGCCUGAUGCAGCAACGCCGCGUGAGCGAUGAAGGCCUUCGGGUCGUAAAGCUCUGUCCUCAAGGAAGAUAAUGACGGUACUUGAGGAGGAAGCCCCGGCUAACUACGUGCCAGCAGCCGCGGUAAU
rnacentral:rRNA from 1 species